rnacentral:rRNA from 1 species
CCUACGGGUGGCAGCAGUGAGGAAUAUUGGUCAAUGGCCGAGAGGCUGAACCAGCCAAGUCGCGUGAGGGAAGACGGCCCUACGGGUUGUAAACCUCUUUUGUCGGGGAGCAAAGAGAGUCACGUGUGACUCAUUGAGAGUACCCGACGAAAAAGCAUCGGCUAACUCCGUGCCAGCAGCCGCGGUAAUACGGAGGAUUCGAGCGUUAUCCGGAAUCAUUGGGGUUAAAGGGGGAGGAGGCGGGUUGGAGGGUCUAUUGUUAAAAGGCAAGGGCUUAACCAUGGUAAGGCGAAGAAACCGGCAGGCUAGAGUUCUAAAGAGGAACGUGGAAUUCGAGGUGUAGCGGUGAAAUGCGUAGAUAUAUGGAGGAACACCAGUGGCGAAGGCGACGAUCUGGGAAGAAACAGACGCUGAGUCCCGAAAGCGUGGGGAGCAAAUAGGAUUAGAUACCCUAGUAGUC